rnacentral:misc_RNA from 1 species
GUAGGUGAACCUGCGGAAGGAUCAUUAAUGAGGGCGUGUGGGCUAAUAUCCCCGCGAACCCUAAUCCUUUGUUUACUGCCCCAUUGUGGUUUUUACUUGGGCUCGGUUUGACAAAAAAAAAAUUUUGGUCUUGUGAUAUGCCCAAAAGGCUGCCACAAUUUUUAACUCUCCCAAGGAAAAAAAAACCCCCACAUUAAAAAAAAAUCAUAAUAACACAUUGAUGUCUGAAUUAAAUUAUUUUAAACAAGCAAAACUUUCAACAACGGAUCUCUUGGUUCCG